ACCCCAGCAGCAGCAGCAGCUGAUGAUGAAGAGAGAGGCAGUGGCAGAGGGGGGGCACCUUUUAUUUCUAUUUUUAAAGGGACAGGACACUAAUUUUACCCCACUUCAACCUUGAAUUGAGGGGGGUGGGGGGAAGGCGGCUGAGUUCCUUCCCCCACCCUCCAGCCCUGAGACCUGAGAGGGGGAUUGAGCCUGAGAGAGAAGAAGAAGGAGUUUCUUCUUCUUCGAAAACCCCCAUCCACGACUCCUACCCCCUCACCCCUCCACUAGCCUCCCUCCCGAGCCCCCUCCACCCUCCUCCUCUUUGGCCGUGAGAGGAGGAGAGAAAGAGACCAAAAGCCUCUUAGCAACACAGACCCUUCUCUGCUGCUGCUGCUGCCGCUGCUACUGCUGCUGCUGCUGCUUGGCCCUGGCUGGAGACAUCUCACUACACCCAGGAGCAGCCACUUCCCCAGCUCUCCUCCUCCUUCGCCUCCUCCUCCUCCACUCCCCCCCCUUUAUUACCCUUUGUGUCAUCCUCCACAGCUCCAGGGAAGGCACUCAAAAGUGGGGGGCAGGAAAGAUGCUUUUUGAGGAAAUCAGUUUCUACAUGUGGCAAGUAGACAUUGAAGGUUAUAUGGUUUACAGACAAGAUCUUUAAAACAUAGAUACUCAAGUCUCCUCCCAUAGGUACUGAUGACACCUGACGGUCUCCUCACCUGCAUGUAUAGCCCAGACCCAGUUUCCUUUGACUGGGGAAAAACCUAGACAGUCUCAGUGUACACAUCUAACUGAGCCAUGGAAUGGUCACCCCCCGCCUUUUGAACUAACCAGGGAUUCAGUGUUUUAACCCUGACCAACGGGCUCUGAUGUUGCUUCACUUAAAUGCCCACUGCCACAUACCUAAAUUAAUUCUGUACUCCAUUAGUUCUCUACUAUUCCACAAACAGAAACUUUGGUUAAGAAUGCCCUGUAUUGACUUCUUUCAUCUUCUAAAACUGUUGCCAUACUUCUGGUUACAUGUGUUAAGGUUAUGUAAAAAGUAAAUAUUUUGACAAAAGAAUAACUAAGAUAUAUAAGUUCAGGGAAGGUAAGUAUUGGUAAAAGAUAGGCAAUCAUCUGGUCUAAUGUCCUUUACAGUAUAUACCAAAUUGUAGUUAACCCUAGAAGAUUUUCACUUCACCUCCAGAAUUUGAAACUUUAUAGUAACCACGUAUUAUUAAAAGAAAAAUUAAAGGUAUUUCCACUUACAAAAAUAAAAAAGAGUAGAGAUUAUAAGCAAGAAUUUCAUAGACCCACUAACAAGAAACUGUCAAUAAACAUAUAAUGGUUAUAAUUUUUGAUACAGUUGAGUGUUUCUACCAUCUUAUUUCAGUUU